AUGAAUGAGAUUGGUCCAGCUGGAAUACCAUUAAGUGUUGUAACAAAAGCCGCUGAGAUCCAGAGUCUUGAUGUUGUUGAUAAAUUGCUUUUUGGAAAUAAGUGGCUCAGAAAAGCUACUGGCAUACAACCACAUUUUCCUUAUGUUGUUGACUCAUUUGAGCAGAGGACUACGGUUUCAGUUCACAUGAUUGCUACCUCCAGUAAUACUUCAACUGCCUCUAAGGAUGCUGACUGGUGCCCAGUUGCUCAGGAAACUCAAUUUUUGCAGCCAAACCAUGAUAGUGGAAACCAUAGAAAAUAA
rnacentral:rRNA from 1 species